rnacentral:tRNA from 1 species
UCCGGAUUAGCUCAGCGGUAGAGCAGUGGACUGUUAAUCCAUUUGUCGUUGGUUCGAAUCCAUCAUCCGGAG